CAAUAGCGUAUAUUUAAGUUGUUGCAGUUAAAAGCUCGUAGUUGGAUUUCGGGUGGGACGCAGCGGUCUCGCAUUGCGUUUGUACUGCUGCAGCCCUCCUUCUUGCCGGGGGCGGCCUCUCGGACUUCACUGUCUGGGGGUCAGAAUCGGCGAUGUUACUUUGAGUAAAUUAGAGUGUUCAAAGCAAGCUUACGCUCUGAAUAUAAUAGCAUGGGAUAACACGACAGGACUCUGGCCUAUCGUGUUGGUCUAUAGGACCAGAGUAAUGAUUAAGAGGGACAGUCGGGGGCAUUCGUAUUCCGUUGUCAGAGGUGAAAUUCUUGGAUUUACGGAAGACGAACAUCUGCGAAAGCAUUUGCCAAGGAUGUUUUCAUUGA
rnacentral:rRNA from 1 species